CACGUAGGGCGCGAGCGUUGUCCGGAAUUAUUGGGCGUAAAGAGCUCGUAGGCGGCCUGUUGCGUCCGCUGUGAAAGCCCGGGGCUUAACCCCGGGUCUGCAGUGGAUACGGGCAGGCUAGAGGUAGGUAGGGGAGAAUGGAAUUCCCGGUGUAGCGGUGAAAUGCGCAGAUAUCGGGAGGAACACUGGUGGCGAAGGCGGUUCUCUGGGCCUUACCUGACGCUGAGGAGGCG
rnacentral:rRNA from 1 species